CCUGCCCUGCAGGUGCCAGGUGUGGCUGCCGAGUCCUGUGUGUGUGUAAGUGGGUGGCAGAGGAGAGAAAUCCUAUGUCUAGGCUCAGUGUUCUAACCUAUGAACAUCUAAGUGAACAGUAGUCUAACACU
ensembl:snoRNA Gm25016 predicted gene, 25016